AAGUACCCACCUCCUGAUACAAAAUAAAUAAUAUUUUAAAACGGAAAACGUAUUAAAAAUGGACUGUGGUUCAAUAAUCAAUAUAUCAUCCAUACCGCCACUUUUUGGUUCGCUUCAUGUUAUGAUGUGUAUGUUCAGUGUGUGUAUGCAUACCGCGACGGUUAUAUCUAUCGAGUAUUUUGUAUUUUUAUAUUUAAUUUAACACAAAAUAGUGCAAGACAUUUAGUAUUUUGUAUAUAUUUAAAUAAAUGGUUUAAAAAAAAAACCUCCGUAAAAACAUCGUUUAAACAUGUUUCUAUGAUGUGCAAUGUACAUUGUACAUACAUAGGUGUAAUGUACAAACAAAUGUGAAAUGUGUAAAAUAAAUAUGUCAUAGAUACUUUGAUCAUUUUCUGGUUUCGUGGGUAAACCUUUUUCCCCUGGAAAUAUCUUGCACAGGUUAAUUCUUUUAAAAUGAUGUGUCUGUAUAAAAAAAACUUAGAUUUCCAUUCGUUUUCAUAAAAC